rnacentral:rRNA from 1 species
CUGCGUACCUUUUGUAUAAUGGGUCAGCGAGUUAUCUGUAUUAGCGAGGUUAACUUUAAUGAGGGAGCCGUAGGGAAACCGAGUCUUAAUAGGGCGAGGAGUUGAUGCAGGUAGACCCGAAACCGAGUGAUCUAGUCCUGGACAGGCUGAAAGCAGGGUAACACCUGCCGGAGGGCCGAACCUACUGUCGUUGCAAAGCCAGAGGAUGAUCUGGGACUAGGGGUGAAAGGCCAAUCAAACCCGGUGAUAGCUGGUUCUCCCCGAAAGCUAUUUAGGUAGCGUCCUGCAGGGGCGUAUGGGGGUAGAGCACUGUUAUAGGAAGGGGUUCAUUGCGAACUACCGACCUAUUGCAAACUACGAAUACCAUACAGUUGUAAGCAGGGGACACACAGUGGGUGCUAACGUUCAUUGUGAAGAGGGAAACAACCCGGACCGCCAGCUAAGGUCCCAAAGUUCUGAUUAAGUGGGAAACGAUGUGGGAAGGCAUAGACAGCCAGGAUGUUGGCUUAGAAGCAGCCAUCAUUUAAAGAAAGCGUAAUAGCUCACUGGUCGAGUCGGCCUGCGCGGAAGAUGUAACGGGGCUCAAAUCAGACACCGAAGCUGCGGAUUUGUACUUAGGUACAAGUGGUAGGGGAGCGUUGUGUAAGCCUGAGAAGAUGUACUGGAAGGUAUGUUGGAGGUAUCACAAGUGCGAAUGCUGACGCAAGUAACGAUAAAACGAGUUAAAUGCUCGUUCGCCGGAAGACCAAGGUUUCCUGUCCAACGUUAAACGGGGCAGGGUUAGUCGGAACCUAAGGCGAGGAUGAAAAUCGUAGUCGAAGGGAAACGGGUUAAUAUUCCCGUACUUGGAUAUGUUGCGAUGAGGUGACGGAGGAGGUAAGGUUAGCCAGCCGAUGGUUGUGCUGGUGAAAGGCAGUAGGUAGUAAGAAGGGUUAAAAGACUUUUUACGAUAAUCUGAGAGCCGAGACGAAUUAACUACGGUUAAGAAGUAACCCUAUCCAGACUUCCAGGAAAAGCCUCUAAGCUCCAGACAUAUACAAUCCGUACCCCAAACCGACACAGGUGGUCGGGUAGAAGAUACCAAGGCGCUUGGGAGAACCCGGGUGAAGGAACUAGGCAAAAUUGUACCGUAACUUCGGGAGAAGGUACGCUGUGGUUUGUAAUAAGAUUAACUCUUAGAGCGAACUGCAGCCGCAGAUAAAUGGUGGCUGGGACUGUUUAACAAAAACAUAGCACUCUGCAAACCUGAAAGGGGAAGUAUAGGGUGUGACACCUGCCCGGUGCCGGAAGGUUAAAUGAUGAGGUUAGAGCAAUCGAAGCCUCUGAGUGAAGCCCCGGUAAACGGCGGCCGUAACUAUAACGGUCCUAAGGUAGCGAAAUUCCUUGUCGGGCAAGUUCCGACCUGCACGAAUGGUGUAACCAUGGCCACGCUGUCUCCACCCGGGACCCAGUGAAACCGAAAUCGCUGUGAAGAUGCAGUGUACCCGCGGCUAGACGGAAAGACCCCGUGAACCUUUACUGCAGCUUGACACUGAACCUUGAACCUGUUUGUGCAGGAUAGGCGGGAGACUUAGAAGUAGAGACGCCAGUCUUUAUGGAGUCGACCUUGAAAUACCGCCCUGAUAUGUUUGAGGUUCUAACUUGAAGGUAACAGCCUUAAGGACAGUGUCUGGUGGGAAGUUUGACUGGGGCGGUCUCCUCCCAAAGAGUAACGGAGGAGCACGAAGGUCGGCUGAUCACGGUCGGAAACCGUGAGGUCAGUGCAAUGGCAAAAGCCGGCUUGACUGCGAGAGCAACAACUCGAGCAGGUGCGAAAGCAGGUCAUAGUGAUCCGGUGGUUCCAUAUGGACGGGCCAUCGCUCAACGGAUAAAAGGUACUCUGGGGAUAACAGGCUGAUACCGCCCAAGAGUUCAUAUCGACGGCGGUGUUUGGCACCUCGAUGUCGGCUCAUCACAUCCUGGGGCUGAAGUUGGUCCCAAGGGUAUGGCU